rnacentral:rRNA from 1 species
GAUGAACGCUGGCGGUAUGCUUAACACAUGCCAGUCGAACGGACUCUUCGGAGUUAGUGGCGGACGGGUGAGUAACGCGUGAGAAUCUGGCUUUGGGUUCGGGACAACCACUGGAAACGGUGGCUAAUACCGGAUGUGCCGAGAGGGAAAAGAGAAAUUGCCUGAAGAUGAGCUCGCGUCUGAUUAGCUAGUUGGUGAGGUAAAGGCUCACCAAGGCAGCGAUCAGUAGCUGGUCUGAGAGGAUGACCAGCCACACUGGGACUGAGACACGGCCCAGACUCCGACGGGAGGCAGCAGUGGGGAAUGUUCCGCAAUUGGCGAAAGCCUGACGGAGCAGUACCGCGUGAGGAAAGGAGGAUCUUGGGUUGUAAACCUCUUGUCUUAGGGAAGAACAAAAUGACGGUACCUAAGGAAUCAGCAUCGGCUAACUCCGU